CUAGAGCAAUUUAUUUAUUUUUUUACUUUUUUCUGUUCUUUGUACUAAAUAAAAAAUAUGUAUUACGAAAACCGAAUAAAUUGAUAAUUUUGUAUUAAUUUAUAUAUUUUUGCCAGAGACGGACUUGAUGUCGAAAUCGGCCAAGGCAUUUCUAUACAGUACAGCCCAUGAAAUUGUUUAUCAUAUGACGGGCCCUUCAAGACGAGUAGACUUUCAAAAAAGAUGUGCAAAAAGAUAGGAUAUUAUAUCUUUAGCUUUGUUGUAAGGAAAACGGAUUUUUUACGUCUAUACUAUAUAAAGAAGAUAUUCAAUAGGGGGACUUGAUGUCGAAAUCGGCCAAGGCAUUUCUAUACAGUACAGCCCAUGAAAUUGUUUAUCAUAUGACGGGCCCUUCAAAUAUAGUUUUAUCUGUUCUCAAAAUCAUUAUGUUAUUUUUCUAUUAUGUAUCGAUAACUGUUUGCAUGCUCUAUUCUGAAAGCCAAGGGCAUUAUUCAAUAUGUAAAAACAUAAUGUAUUAUAGAUAUGAUUAAAUGUAAACUGACCUUUUUGUGAUAAAGCAAAUUGCAGUCAUUGAUAGUACCUUGUUUCUUCGUAAAAUAAAAAACGAAUGUAUAGCAUUCACUUGACCUACUUUACUUAAUCCUUUACACUACUAGUCAAGCUUAUAGCCGCAAAAGCACUUUGCUUAUGUACUCACUUUUGGGUAAUUUUGCUUGGGACCAUGUGCAUCCUGUCAUCUUUGCUUUUUGUUUUGUUGAUCUCCUCCAUUCAUCUCACAGCCUUUUUCUUUCACCGUGGGUUUCAGUUUAAAACCUGAUUUUAAAUAUUUUUCCUAGAUUUUGGCAUUGUCUUACAAAUCCAACCCCAUUUGUCAUUUUUGAUUGCCUGUUCAAUUGGUGUUUGCUGGGCUGUUUACAAUAGACUAAAGUUAGAUAUUUUUAUGACCACUUUGCAUCUAUUAUGUGUCGUAACCAUUUCUUGGUAAAUGCCUUGACCUUGCCUGCAUUGCUAUUUGAUACUCUCUAUAUCUAUGCGCGAUGCGAUUGCCCACGUCGCCUCCUCCUUGCGCCGCUUCUGUGGCUUGUAAAAUGUGUCUGAAAGCUAAAGAUAUGUAUGACUUGGUUUAAAAUCUUUAUGUGUAAUAUUCUAACAGAUAAUCAAGUUAUUGCUUCAGCUAUUCAAUGAGGCGAGGCUGAAAAGGAUG